rnacentral:tRNA from 1 species
CAUUGAAUGACUGAAAGUAAGUAAUGGAAUUUUAAACCAUUUAUAAUAUAGUAACGUUUAUUUUUAAUGA